AAAAAGCUCUGGCGUCUCUGAUGUGGACCUCACUUUGGAAACACUGACAGAGAGCUUUCAGAGAUGCAGUGACUCUGCCAGAUGCUUCAGUGUCUCCCAGGAGGCAGGUUUUGCAGUGCAUGGAGAGGAACCAGCUGGCAGAGAAAGAAGCAGGUUCAAGCUCAAGCAGCAAUCAGAUCAUGUAGAAUGACCACAGCCAAAUGCACAAGCCCAUUUGAGAAGCAAGGGAAUGUCUUGUGUGAUCCCAGAAUCCCAGGUCCCGGGAAGACAGAAAUGUUGCUGAGACCCCGUGGCAGCUUGGGUUCAAGCAAGACAAAGCUGCAGCCAACAGGGCUGCCAUCUUCUCACUCUCUAAAGGAAUGUGAGAGGGUGACCACCCUACAACCCAGGGAAAUGGGUUCUUGUUCUAGCCUGGUGUUGGAGAAUCACUCUCUGCAUCUGAUGUUUACAAAGAAGAUAAAUUCCUCUUCAGGCCUGACACCAGCCAUCCACCUCCAGCAGCAAGGGAACCAGGAAAUCUCAUGGCCAGCCUGGCCAGCAAGCGAGUGGAAUAUGCAAAGGAGAUGACUCACAGCAGACCAGCACGGUCGGCCAUGAAGCAGAGGCCAAAUUGCCAUCUGUUUCAUCAAGUUCGUUGGUGGUUGCCGUAUUUAUGUCUGUGAUUUAUGUCUAGGUGUCACCAUGAGCCUUGGCAGAUUUGGGAGACUAUUAAAUGUAUGAUUUGUCGAUAGCUAUCAA
rnacentral:lncRNA from 1 species